rnacentral:tRNA from 2 species
UUCUUCAUCAGCGAGCGGGCCAGGGUCGAGAGCAGCUUCAGGUGCUCCUGGUCGGCCCCGUCCGGGGCGGCGAUGAAGAAG